CUCUCGCUACCGCUCGGACCUAUAUAAAGUCCAACCCAACCUGUAAUUAGCUAAAACCCACUAAUUACUAAUACCCAUGUAACGACCCAGCCCACUAGCAAUAAUAACUCAUUGGGCCCAACCACCGGCCCAAAAUGCUUAAGCCCAGUUAUUAUUACUAGUGUCUAAGUCUCUUAUAUACCCAAUCACAUCCCCAUUCCUAUCCGAUGUGGGAUUAUUGGGGUGUGACAGACUCCCCCCGUUAAGGCUUUGACAUCCUGGUCAGUCCAAUCACACACACAGCCCAAGAUCACCAGGCGAUGUGAGACUCGUCUCACUAGCCUUGUCAUCCAGACCCUGACAUAGUCGGUCACCUUAUCAUACAGACUCCGGCAUAGCCUAUCACCUUGUCUUUCAGACCCUGACUCAGCCGAGACUCGCCACACAUUUUCGGCUGGCGAUUGACUCUGAUACCAAAUGUAACGAGCCAGCCCACUAGCAAUAAUAACUCGUUUGGCCCUACCACCGGCCCAAAAUGCUUAACUCCAGUUAUUAUUACUAGUGUCUAAGUCUCUUAUAUACCCAAUCACAUCUCCAUUUCUAUUCG
rnacentral:lncRNA from 1 species